GUGCUCUCUUUGGCAGCACAUAUACUGAAAUUGGAAUGAUGCAGAGAAGAUUAGAUGGCCCCUGUACAAGAAUGACAUACAAAUUCAUGAAGCAUUCUGUAUUUUA